rnacentral:lncRNA from 1 species
CGUGCCAUCCAGUCGUGCGCCGCCGGGUGGGCGACGUGGAGGCAUGCGCCCGCGGGCGCCGCGUGCAUCCACCGACGGCCCAAAAGAUGCAAAAGGUCGAUGCGACCCAGGGCCGAUGCGACCACCCACGCCAGGCCCAGGCCGACCGGGUGCGUGGCAGCCAAUGCCUCAAAAUCGGCAGUGUUGGCCGUCACGGCGGCACAGGCCAACGUGGCGUCGUCCCACCGAUAUCCACACCGUUCAAGUCGGCGCAGUCGCGCCGCGAGGGGCGCGUGGACGUCUUCAUUGCCACCGUUGGCACUGCAAUCGGUAUGGUCGUCAUCACGGUGGCGUCGUCCUCGCACAUUGUUGUCUUUUUUCGCAAGGCUACGACUGGUAAUGGGGCUGGCGCGCUCGUCUACGCGGCCCAUCUCUGAGGUGCAAAGGACAGUGUCGGUGCCCGAAUGGACGAGCGCGGCAAUGGCCAUAAGGGGCGAGCGCGCGCCGGUGCCGCCCAUACGCUCGGCGAGGCCCUGGUCGGCGAUGGUUGCGAGGAGCGCGCGCCGCUCUGUCCAUGGGCAGGCGAGUUUUUCCAGGCACCAGAGGGCGACGUCGGUGGCGCCAGCAAGGAUGGCCUCGUCGACGAGUCUCGUUGUAAUCAUGGUCGCAUGGGCACCGCCGACUGCGACGGCGCAGUCGUACCAAGUGGUCGACACGCGCGCGGCCACGGGCAGCCACAAUGGAUCCAUGUGCUCUAAUAUGGCACAUAAAAGUUCUGCCGGCAAGGUCACCCCUAAGUCGUCUGCCAGAGGCACCUGCGUGGCGUCUGCAGUUGGCACCACCGCAGUGGCUACCAUCGCCAACACGGUUGUCGUGGUUGUUGAGGAUGCUGUCAAGGACGUCGUCGGGCCAGUGGGCGACGCCGCGAGAAUGCCAAGGUCGGCGGGGUCGUUGUCGGCAUCCGUGCCUUUCAUGAGCACAAAGCAGCCGCCCUUUUUCUACGAGAGGCAGCCGCCUCUGUCGGGCUGCCCGCGCGUGUCCCCUAGAGCGACCCGAUCCAAAAAAAGUGUCUGAAAUCCGACGAAAAAAGGCGCUCUUCCAACAAGGCUGCCGCUACAGUAUGCACCGGAUGCCCCAUUGCGACCCUGCCCGUCCAUAAAACCCCCACCGUCCUUUUUCCUUUCAAAAAGACAACCUGCCGAAAAGGACGCAGCGCGGAUGCGGCCCAGACUCCUGCCAGUCUCGGCCGUGCCGCCGGUCCCUCUUUUUUUUUCAACGACGACUUUGGUUCUCAAAAAAAGGGACUGGCCAAGUCGGUCCCGAUGCCCAAAGCCACGAGCCGUUGCAACAAGAAAAAAGGGGUCCACAACCAGCCGGGCCGUCUGUGUGUCCUUUCAGCGUGGCACGGUCAAGGGAGCGCAGCAAAUAUUCCCCUGUUGAUUUUGGCCCGCUUAAAAAAGCCUUUUUGUUUGAG